rnacentral:rRNA from 2 species
AUUUAAAGUGGUACGCGAGCUGGGUUUAGAACGUCGUGAGACAGUUCGGUCCCUAUCUGCCGUGGGCGCUGGAGAACUGAGGGGGGCUGCUCCUAGUACGAGAGGACCGGAGUGGACGCAUCACUGGUGUUCGGGUUGUCAUGCCAAUGGCACUGCCCGGUAGCUAAAUGCGGAAGAGAUAAGUGCUGAAAGCAUCUAAGCACGAAACUUGCCCCGAGAUGAGUUCUCCCUGAGACUUUAGGUCUCCUGAAGGAACGUUGAAGACGACGACGUUGAUAGGCCGGGUGUGUAAGCGCAGCGAUGCGUUGAGCUAACCGGUACUAAUGAACCGUGAGGCUUAACCUUACAACGCCGAAG